rnacentral:rRNA from 1 species
AUUGAACGCUGGCGGCAGGCCUAACACAUGCAAGUCGAACGAGUGGCGGACGGGUGAGUAAUGUCUGGGAAACUGCCUGAUGGAGGGGGAUAACUACGGGAAACGGUAGCUAAUACCGCAUACCAUCGGAUGUGCCCAGAUGGGAUUAGCAUGUUGGUGGGGUAACGGCUCACCAAGGCGACGAUCCCUAGCAGGUCUGAGAGGAUGACCCGCCACACUGGACCUGAGACACGGUCCAGACUCCUCCGGGCGGCAGCAGUGGGGAAUAUUGCACGAUGGGCGCAAGCCUGAUGCAGCCAUGCCGCGUGUAUGAAGAAGGCCUUCGGGUUGUAAAGUUCUUUCGGCGGGGAGGCGUUACCCGCAGAAGAAGCACCGGCUAACUCCGUGCCAGCAGCCGCGGUAAUUC